UUGAUUAAACCAUAAGAGGUCCAGCCUGCCCAGUGACAUUGUUCAACGGCCGCGGUAUCCUAACCGUGCGAAGGUAGCGUAAUCACUUGUCCUUUAAAUGAAGACUAGUAUGAAUGGCCCCACGAAAGCUAUACUGUCUCCUUUUUCUAAUCAGUUAAACUAAUCUCCCCGUGAAGAAGCGGGGAUAAACAUAUAAGACGAGAAGACCCUAUGGAGCUUUAAACAACUGAAACACUUGUAUAUCUCCCUUCACCUACCCACAUUUAACUCCACAUCUUGUUUCUAGUUUUAGGUUGGGGUGACCACGGAGAAAAAACUAACCUCCACGAUGAAAGAGACAUCUCUAAACAAAAAGCUACAUCUUUAUGUAUUAAUACAUUAACCUUUAUUGACCCAAUAAAUUGAUCAACGAACC
rnacentral:rRNA from 1 species